rnacentral:rRNA from 1 species
GAGUUUGAUCCUGGCUCAGAGUGAACGCUGGCGGCGUGCCUAACACAUGCAAGUCGAGCGGGGUACCUGGCGUAGCAAUACGUCGUGUGCCCAGCGGCAGACGGGUGAGUAACACGUAGACAAUCUUCCUUCCAGAGGGGGAUAGCCCGCCGAAAGGCGGGGUAAUACCGCGUACGAUUCGUUGAUGGCAUCAUCGAUGAAUGGAACAUCCGCAAGGAUGGCUGGAUGAGGGGUCUGCGGCCUAUCAGCUAGUUGGUGGGGUAAUGGCCCACCAAGGCGACGACGGGUAUCCGACCUGAAAGGGUGACCGGACACACUGACACUGAGACACGGGUCAGACUCCUACGGGAGGCAGCAGUGAGGAAUUUUGGACAAUGGGGGAAACCCUGAUCCAGCGACGCCGCGUGGAGGACGAAGGUCUUCGGAUUGUAAACUCCUUUUGUCUGGGACUAAGAAGCCUAGGGAAACUUAGGAAGUGAAGGUACCAGAUGAAUAAGCCACGGCUAACUUCGUGCCAGCAGCCGCGGUAAUACGAAGGUGGCAAGCGUUACUCGGAAUUACUAGGCGUAAAGGGCAAGUAGGCGGUUUGGUUAGUCUGUUGUGAAAGCUCCUGGCUUAACCGGGAGAGGUCAAUAGAUACUGCCAGACUUGAGUAUGGGAGAGGGUACUGGAAUUCCCGGUAUAGCGGUGAAAUGCGCAGAUAUCGGGAGGAACACCGAUGGCGAAAGCAGGUACCUGGACCAUUACUGACGCUCAUCUGCGAAAGCUAGGGGAGCAAACAGGAUUAGAUACCCUGGUAG